UACGUAGGUGGCAAGCGUUAUCCGGAUUUAUUGGGCGUAAAGGGAACGCAGGCGGUCUUUUAAGUCUGAUGUGAAAGCCUUCGGCUUAACCGGAGUAGUGCAUUGGAAACUGGGAGACUUAAGUGCAGAAGAGGAGAGUGGAACUCCAUGUGUAGCGGUGAAAUGCGUAGAUAUAUGGAAGAACACCAGUGGCGAAAGCGGCUCUCUGGUCUGUAACUGACGCUGAGGUUCGAAAGCGUGGGUAGCAAACAGG
rnacentral:rRNA from 1 species